AGAGUUUGAUCCUGGCUCAGGAUGAACGCUAGCUACAGGCUUAACACAUGCAAGUCGAGGGGCAGCAUGGUCUUAGCUUGCUAAGACCGAUGGCGACCGGCGCACGGGUGAGUAACGCGUAUCCAACCUGCCUUACACUCUUGGACAGCCUUCUGAAAGGGAGAUUAAUACAAGAUGUUAUCAUGAGUAAGCAUUUUCACAUGAUUAAAGGUUUACCGGUGUAAGAUGGGGAUGCGUUCCAUUAGAUAGGUAGGCGGGGUAACGGCCCACCUAGUCUUCGAUGGAUAGGGGUUCUGGGAGGAAGGUCCCCCACAUUGGAACUGAGACACGGUCCAAACUCCGUACGGGAGGCA
rnacentral:rRNA from 1 species